GGACGAACGCUGGCGGCGUGCUUAACACAUGCAAGUCGAACGAGGUUACUGGAGAGCUUGCUCGAAAGUAACCGAGUGGCGGACGGGUGAGUAACGCGUGAGGAACCUGUCUCACACAGGGGAAUAACGCAUCGAAAGAUGUGCUAAUACCGCAUAGGACCACGAAGUCGCAUGGCUUUGAGGUGAAAGGAGGAAUCCGGUGUGAGGUGGACUCGCGUCUGAUUAGAUAGUUGGUGAGGUAACGGCCCACCAAGUCAACGAUCAGUAGCCGACCUGAGAGGGUGAUCGGCCACAAUGGGACUGAGACACGGCCCAUACUCCUACGGGAGGCAGCAGUAGGGAAUUUUGCGCAAUGGGGGAAACCCUGACGCAAGCAACGCCGCGUGAUUGAAUAAGCCCUUCGGGGUGUAAAGAUCUGUCAGUGGGGACGAAACUUGACGGUACCCACAGAGGAAGCAUCGGCUAACUCCGUGCCAGCCGCUGC
rnacentral:rRNA from 1 species